GGUUAGGGUUGGAGUUAGGGUUAGUGUUGGAGCUAGGGUUAGGGUUGGGCUUGGAGCUAGGAUUUUUCUGAGUGCAAUGAACCAACUCCCAAGUCUCUAGGACAUUCCUAAAAAAAAUUGAUUUUUUCCCAUAGGAAUGCAUGGGUUAGGGUUAGGGUUAGGGUUAGUGUUAGAGCUAGGGUGAGGCUUGGGCUUGGAGCUAGGAUUUUUCUGAGUGCAAUGAACCAACUCCCGAGUCUCUAGGACGUUCCUAAAAAAAUUUGUUUUUUUUCCCAUAGGAAUGCAUGGGUUAGGGUUAGGGUUAGGGUUGGAGCUAGGGUUAGGGUUAGGGUUAGGGUUGGAGUUAGGGUUAGUGUUGGAGCUAGGGUUAGGGUUGGGCUUGGAGCUAGGAUUUUUCUGAGUGCAAUGAACCAACUCCCGAGUCUCUAGGACGUUCCUAAAAAAAAUUGAUUUUUUUCCCAUAGGAAUGCAUGGGUUAGGGUUAGGGUUAGGGUUGGAGCUAGGGUUAGGGUUAGGGUUAGGGUUGGAGUUAGGGUUAGUGUUGGAGCUAGGGUUAGGGUUGGGCUUGGAGCUAGGAUUUUUCUGAGUGCAAUGAACCAACUCUCGAGUCUCUAGGACGUUCCUAAAAAAAUUUGAUUUUUUUUCCAUAGGAAUGCAUGGGUUAGGGUUAGGGUUAGGGUUGGAGCUAGGGUUAGGGUUAGGGUUAGGGUUGGAGUUAGGUUUAGUGUUGGAGCUAGGGUUAGGGUUGGGCUUGGAGCUAGGAUUUUUCUGAGUGCAAUGAACCAACUCCCAAGUCUCUAGAAAAAGUGCCAACCCAAUUUUUCACCUUCCAGAAUUGUGUUAGGAGCACGUUUCAGGGCACGGGGAGUCUAUAGAAACUAAUUCUGUGGGAAGUUUUUUGAAAAGUUUCGAGGGUUUGGGUUAGGGUUAGGGUUUGGGUUAGGGUUAGGGUUGGAGCUAGGGUUAGGGUUAGGGUUAAGGUUGGAGCUAGGGUUAGGGUUAGGGUUAGGAUUAGGGUGGAGCUAGGGUUAGGGUUAGGGUUAGAGCUAGGGUUAGGGUUGGGGCUAGGGUUAGGGUUAGGGUUAAGGUUGGAGCUAGGGUUAGGGUUAGGGUUGGAGUUAGGGUUAGGGUUGGAGCUAGGGUUCGGGUUGGGCUUGGAGCUAGGAUUUUUCUGAGUGCAAUGAACCAACUCCCGAGUCUCUAGGACGUUCCUAAAAAAAUUUAAUUUUUUCCCCAUAGGAAUGCAUGGGUUAGGGUUAGGGUUAGGGUUGGAGCUAGGGUUAGGGUUAGGGUUAGGGUUGGAGUUAGGGUUAGUGUUGGAGCUAGGGUUAGGGUUGGGCUUGGAGCUAGGAGUGUAACUGUGUAACUGCAGUAUUAAUCUAUUACUGGGAUUUCAGGGAUGAAACUUAGUUUAUAACAGGCUAAAAUCAAAUCUGAAGGUGUAAGGCCUAAUUUCUGCUCUUUUCAACAGGGAAAUAUAGCUUUAACACCCACGUAUGUCAAAACUCAUUUUCCUUAAAUUUCGAUAACUUGCUCAUUUUAGGUUGAAAGGUGGACAGACAUUAUUAAUUUGACAGCGUCUCUUUAAAGUCAUUUUCCAUUACUGUAGUUGAAGCUGUUCUCAGCCGAAAGACUACACUCAUGAAUACUGCAUUUUUAUGGGCUGUGUGAUGUUAACAGAAAGUUCCAGACACACCAUAAAGGAAGCAGCUUUUCAUUUUCUCCACAAAUGGAAAUAAAGAAAACUACACAAGCUCAGACAAUAAGGUUGUUGUGACCUCACCAUGACCAUGUGUUGAUGAAUCUAUAACAUACAGCAUGUCUUAAACACAUCCUGUAGCUGACAGUAUUGGAUGCUUGACUCUCAUGGUUUGUGUUCAUUUUCGGGCUGUACUAACCAGGUUAUGAAUGGUGACUCUAAUACCCCUGCUGACUUUCAAAAUCCUUCUGGCUGGUAUGUUUAUGAGAUGCUGCAUGAAAAUUGCCAUUAAUGUGGAAUAAAUCUUGUGACAGAAGCAGUCCCUGAGUGAAACAUGGUCUAAACAUAAACGCUGAAUCAAUGUGGAUUGAUGUCUAUGAAGAGACUGUGAAAAUACAUUUACUUUUGAGCCAUUAUAAGCACAGUUGGAUACAUGUCCAUCAUGAAAUAAAGGGGUUUUUAAUGAACUUUUCAUGCGGGUGUUAACUUGGAUAAUGAUUACUAAAACCACUGACUGUUUUUUUCAUAGUUUUUCUUUAAUGUUGUCAUCUUUGCAUUACGUGCUGAUUCAUCAGUAUCAUAUAAUGUCAGCCGUGCAAUAAUAUUAAACCCUUUUGCCACCAUGUGGCUCCAGCAUUCCUCUGACUUGACUUGCAAUGCUGGAAUCGGUGCAACAGUGAAGGCAUACGAGGUUCUAAAGGCACUCAGUUAUAAUUUUUAAACAUUUUUCCACAUAAAAUAAGAGCUUAACUCGGAGCUGUUACCAAGACUGUUAACAUUAGCUUAGUUCAAAUGUGGGGUAGGCAGGAAUCCAUUAAAGAAACAUCUUUAUGUGUGUGCAUACAAAAAAGCUUUUCAUAUCAGUCAAUAGCUAUUAGUCAUUGAUGACAUUUGGUAAUAUCACAAUAUCGCUGUAUUUUGUUGUGUUUGUGUAGUCAACAUUUUAAACUUUUUGAGCGCUCCGCUUUUUCUGACUGUAAACAAAGCCAUUCUCCGCCUCCCCCAACCCGAUUGGUUGUGAGGCAGAUGCUGCUCCCUAGUGCUGAUUGGUUGUGAGGCAGACGCUGCUCCCCUGUGUCAUUCAGGAGCCCAAACAAAGUUAGCGUGCUACAAUAUCGGACAGUAAAACCAACCAGAAAGUACAGAAAAUUGUCUGAAUCUUCCUUUAGCCAUGACUGCCAACACAAGCAAGAAAAUACCGGAGACUCUGGUAGAAUAAUGGGUGCUUAAAAAGGAGGAAGACCGCCCGUACACAAGCUAAAAAAGCUGUCUCAACAAGAAUUUUGACCGAAGGACGUCACAGACAUUCUUUUAACACACCAGGGGACUAUUUAAGUCGUGUGAAAUUGGCAUGCCAUGGGACCUUUAAAGAGGAGCAGCUUGUGCAGCCAAAAGUCAAUGUUGAAUCAGUUUUUAAAGACACUUCUUGUUUUUGUUUAUCUUUUUGCUUGAGUUUACAGACUUUUACAUGUAAAUAAUAUGUUAGAAAACAAAAGCUACCCUGCAGUGACAAGGUGGCAGUUACAAAGCUUUUGAAUUUGACAUCCUAAAAUGAGAAUGCAUAGAGCGUUUUCAGUUUUUAGUGAUGGCUCAUUAUGAACACCAGAUCUCUUUAUUCAACUCUACGUGCUGAGAGACGAGAUGCAUUUUCAGUGCAUUUUUGUGUCUGUCAAAGCCCAGCAGCAGCAGCAGCCACUGGAACGGUAUCUCACUCCUCAGACAUACAAGCAAAUGUGACAUGGAGUUGAACAUUAUACCACAUCCAGGCAUGAAUUUAAAAGAUAUAUCCCCAUGGUAACAUCCACCAUCUCACUCCCCCACUCUCUUCCACGUACACAGUGACACCCACAAAGAGAAGAAUAAAAAAGAGUCAGUGCCAGAGGGCGGUGUGAAACAAAAGCCUCCUCCCGGUUGUCAGAAUCAAUAUUGGCAUGUAUGACAAAGACGGAGGGUCUCUAAAGAAAACUGCGAGAUUGAAUAUGGUGCUGGAAAUGACAAGUGACAAGCGAGCCGCUGUCUGAGGCUGACAGACGAGCUAACGACCAGAGACCUCCAUGACAGAUGCUCUCCAACACGUCAAGGAAAGAGAGGACGCUGGGGACCGAGAUGACAGCACCCACAAUCACAUUAAUUCUCCU